AGUAACACGUGGAUAACCUACCUAUAAGACUGGGAUAACUUCGGGAAACCGGAGCUAAUACCGGAUAAUAUUUUGAACCGCAUGGUUCAAAAGUGAAAGACGGUCUUGCUGUCACUUAUAGAUGGAUCCGCGCUGCAUUAGCUAGUUGGUAAGGUAACGGCUUACCAAGGCAACGAUGCAUAGCCGACCUGAGAGGGUGAUGGCCACACUGGAACUGAGACACGGUCCAG
rnacentral:rRNA from 1 species